rnacentral:pre_miRNA from 1 species
AGGAGCAACAGCCCUAGUGGUGGGGCCAGCUCUGGAAACCUGGAUUUAGCCCCGCAGGAACUCCGGAGCUCUCCCUCUGCAGGGCCUGGAGGCUCCGGGGCGGG